CAGGUGUAUUUCUUUUAACUGUCAUUUUAGCAACAAAUACGUAUCCCAACAGGCAGCUAUUUCCAACAAGCAGGAUAAUGCAGAUUAUACUAAACAUCGAGAUCGUGACAGAGAUUAUGACGGAUUGGAUACAAACAGACAGGAGAUGCACGUAUACAACACGGCACAGGACAAUGUAGAGUAUAGUCAUUAUAUGACGAUACCAGCAGACCAUACUUUUUUGGACCCAGACAAUACUUACUUGCAACCAGACAAUAGUUACUUGGAACCAGGUCGGAUUUACUUGGAACCCAUAAGUGGAAACUCAAUGACAUCUACAACGUAGUACACAUGACUAUCAAGAUGAAAAGUCUGGAGUUGUCUGAAUCUUAGGAUGAUAAUUGUUGCUAAUGGAAUCAAUUUGAUCAACAGAAAUAAACCUUUAGAAUCGCCACAGAAACAUAAUUCAAUUAUUUCUAUCAUUAACUGAAUAUUCUUUUUUUUAGAUUAAUUUAUUGAAUAAUUAUCCUUCGAACUAA